rnacentral:rRNA from 1 species
UACGAGAGGCCCAAACGUUAUUCGGAUUUACUGGGCUUAAAGAGUUCGUAGGCGGCAUUGCAAGUAGGGUGUGAAAGCCCUCGGCUCAACCGAGGAAUUGCGCUCUAAACUGCAGUGCUUGAGGAACCUAGAGGUGAGCAGAACAGAUGGUGGAGCGGUGAAAUGCGUUGAUAUCAUCUGGAAUACCGGAGGCGAAGGCGGCUCACUGGGAGUUUUCUGACGCUGAGGAACGAAAGCCAGGGUAGCGAACGGG